UUACUUCUGCUAUUUUUCUGUCUAGGAAAAAGUGAUUAAAAGAGACAGCGGGAUCAAGGUGCUUUAGACUUGUCCAUGUGAAGAAAUGGAUUAUCCAAGGGAGGCUGUGGAUUCCUCUUAGUCAUCUAUACUAAUGCAAACAGCAGUCCUCAUUCAAUGCAUAGAAGGCUUUUAUGAAGUUGUAAGGCAGUGAGCUUUAGGUGUUUUCCAGAUGAAGUAUUGGACCA